GAUGUGCUGUAAGCUAGUCAUUGUCAAAGCAUACGGAGGAGUUUUGGAAGCUAGCACACUGUAUAUGGACUGGUGACGGCAUUGGAGAAUUGGUUCCUGGAUUCCUGCUGAGUACCAUUUUAGAAUAGCAACUUACAGCUCUUUGAACUCCCACCAUUACUAGAAGCUUUUCAUCUAUUACAAGGCCUGUGAUCAUAAGUGAAAGGACGAAGAAGAGAGAAGCCAGGUACAAGAGAAGCCUCCUUUAUAAGAGGGAUAAGAAGGCAGCGAAUGUGUGAGAACUUGCAAUCUAUACAUGCUCUGAGACCGAGACCCUCCCUCUAAGACUUUUGCCAAACAAACCAGGGAAGACCAGACUUGACAUUCCAGUUAUUUCUGAGGUUAAAAACAAG